CCCUUAGAUGUCCUGGGCCGCACGCGCGUUACACUGAUGCAUUCAACGAGCUUAUAACCUUGGCCGAGAGGCCUGGGCAAUCUUGUUAACGUGCAUCGUGAUAGGGAUAGAUUAUUGAAAUUAUUAAUCUUGAACGAGGAAUACCUAGUAAACGCAGAUCAUCAAUCUGCAUUGAUUACGUCCCUGCCCUUUGUACACACCGCCCGUCGCACCUACCGAUUGGAUGGUCCGGUGAAGCCUCGGGAUUGUGGUUCUUGCCGCUUUAUUGUGGCGUGACCGCGAGAACUUGUCUAAACCUUAUCAUCUAGAGGAAGGUGAAGUCGUAACA
rnacentral:rRNA from 1 species